rnacentral:rRNA from 1 species
CCUACGGGGGGCACCAGUGGGGAAUAUUGCACAAUGGGCGCAAGCCUGAUGCAGCCAUGCCGCGUGUAUGAAGGAGGCCUUCGGGUUGUAAAGUACUUUCAGCGAGGAGGAAGGCAUCAAGGUUAAUAACCUUGGUGAUUGACGUUACUCGCAGAAGAAGCACCGGCUAACUCCGUGCCAGCAGCCGCGGUAAUACGGAGGGUGCAAGCGUUAAUCGGAAUUACUGGGCGUAAAGCGCACGCAGGCGGUCUGUCAAGUCGGAUGUGAAAUCCCCGGGCUCAACCUGGGAACUGCAUUCGAAACUGGCAGGCUAGAGUCUUGUAGAGGGGGGUAGAAUUCUAGGUGUAGCGGUGAAAUGCGUAGAGAUCUGGAGGAAUACCGGUGGCGAAGGCAGCCCCCUGGACAAAGACUGACGCUCAGGUGCGAAAGCGUGGGGAGCAAACAGGAUUAGAUACCCGGGUAGUC